CCUGACAUUGGGUAAUAAUAGAUAAUGUUGACAUAUGUUCCCUGCUGGUCAGAAAUACUAUACUUCUGUGAAAGACCUUGCAGCAGAAAGGACUAUGCCACUUGGGAUGCAGGUGUGAAGAAGCAGUGGCCACUGUGGUAUGAGAUCCCCCCUCCAGGGAGCUUGGCCCCUAGCGAUUGGCUCUUGGAUUGUGGAUACUGGUGGGGCUUUUUGUGUCUUGUGGGGGUAAAGGGCGACACCAGUGAAAAUUAUUGUUCUUCAUCAAAAGAGAGCCAGAGGAGCUAA
rnacentral:lncRNA from 12 species